rnacentral:rRNA from 1 species
UACAGAGGUCUCAAGCGUUGUUCGGAUUCAUUGGGCGUAAAGGGUGCGUAGGUGGCAGGGUAAGUCGGAUGUGAAAUCCCGGGGCUCAACCUCGGAACUGCAUUCGAUACUGCUUUGCUUGAGUACUGAAGAGGAGAUUGGAAUUUACGGUGUAGCAGUGAAAUGCGUAGAUAUCGUAAGGAAGACCAGUGGCGAAGGCGGAUCUCUGGACAGUUACUGACACUGAGGCACGAAGGCCAGGGGAGCAAACGGG